rnacentral:rRNA from 1 species
UACGUAGGGGGCAAGCGUUGUCCGGAUUUAUUGGGCGUAAAGAGCGUGUAGGCGGUUUGGUAGGUCCGCUGUGAAAACCUGGGGCUUAACUCUGGGCGUGCGGUCGAUACGGGCAUCACUAGAGUUCGGCAGGGGAGACUGGAAUUCCUGGUGUAGCGGUGAAAUGCGCAGAUAUCAGGAGGAACACCGGUGGCGAAGGCGGGUCUCUGGGCCGAUACUGACGCUGAGGCACGAAAGCGUGGGGAGCAAACAGG